ACCGGUUCUCGUUAGAUCACCGAAGUUAAGCAUCAUUGGGCGCGGUCAGUACUCUGGGUCGGGUGACCACCUGGGAACACUGCGUGCCGUU